rnacentral:misc_RNA from 1 species
CUGAGUUAGUCUGUAAAAGGACGAAUCUCCCACACUUUGUUUAAAAGAUUUUAUAAUUCUGGUGAUUCUUAGGAGUCCCGGGAGUUUUAUACUCUCUAUCUUUUCGCAAGAGAAGAUAUGGUUAAAACAAACAAAAUCAAAAAACAUUA